rnacentral:rRNA from 1 species
GGGUUAAGUCCCGCAACGAGCCGCAACCUUACCCUUAGUUGCCAGCGGUAAUGCCGGGCACGUCUAAGGGGACCGCCCCGGAUAACGGGGAGGAAGGCGGGGAUGACGUCAAGUCAGCAUGGCCCUUAUGUCCAGGGCUACACACGUGCUACAAUGGGCGAUACAGAGGGAAGCAAGGCCGCAAGGUAGAGCUAAUCCCUAAAGUCGUCCUCAGUUCGGAUUGCAGGCUGCAACUCGCCUGCAUGAAGUCGGAAUCGCUAGUAAUCGCGGAUCAGCUACGCCGCGGUGAAUACGUUCUCGGGCCUU